ensembl:snoRNA
UAUGGUGUUCCAUGAUGAUGACUUUUCUUUCCCUGACAGACCAGCAAUGUUGACAUUAUAGUAAAAAGCCAAAGUGUCCGAGACACCAUU